UGGGAUGUAGCUCAAUUGAUAGAGCACUUUCGGUCGCUUCCAAAGAGGUUCGGGGUUCAAUUCCUCGCAUCUCCA